rnacentral:rRNA from 1 species
GACGAACGCUGGCGGCGUGCUUAACACAUGCAAGUCGAACGGAAAGGCCCUGCUUUUGUGGGGUGCUCGAGUGGCGAACGGGUGAGUAACACGUGAGUAACCUGCCCUUGACUUUGGGAUAACUUCAGGAAACUGGGGCUAAUACCGGAUAGGAGCUCCUGCUGCAUGGUGGGGGUUGGAAAGUUUCGGCGGUUGGGGAUGGACUCGCGGCUUAUCAGCUUGUUGGUGGGGUAGUGGCUUACCAAGGCUUUGACGGGUAGCCGGCCUGAGAGGGUGACCGGCCACAUGAGGACUGUGAUACGGCCGAGACUCCUACGGGAGGCAGCAGUGGGGAAUAUUGCACAAUGGGCGGAAGCCUGAUGCAGCAACGCCGCGUGCGGGAUGACGGCCUUCGGGUUGUAAACCGCUUUCGCCUGUGACGAAGCGUGAGUGACGGUAAUGGGUAAAGAAGCACCGGCUAACUACGUG